GACGAACGCUGGCGGCGUGCUUAACACAUGCAAGUCGAACGGAAAGGCCCUGCUUUUGUGGGGUGCUCGAGUGGCGAACGGGUGAGUAACACGUGAGUAACCUGCCCUUGACUUUGGGAUAACUUCAGGAAACUGGGGCUAAUACCGGAUAGGAGCUCCUGCUGCAUGGUGGGGGUUGGAAAGUUUCGGCGGUUGGGGAUGGACCCGCGGCUUAUCAGCUUGUUGGUGGGGUAGUGGCUUACCAAGGCCUUGACGGGUAGCCGGCCUGAGAGGGUGACCGGCCAAUUGGGAAAUGGAUACCGGCCAGAGCCCCUAGGGGGGGAAGGGGGGGGAAAUGUUGCAAAGGGGGCGAAGGCCUAGGGAGGCAACGCCGGGGGGGGAAGGAGGGCCUUGGGGUUGUAAACCGUUUUGGCCUGGGACGAGGGGGGGGGGACGGAAAUGGGAAAAAAAGCACCGGCGAACUAGGG
rnacentral:rRNA from 1 species